UACCAGCACCCCGAGUGGUCGGGACGAUUAUUGGGCCUAAAGCAUCCGUAGCCGGUUCUGCAAGUCCCCCGUUAAAUCCAGCUGCUCAACAGAUGGGCCGCGGAGGAUACUACAGAGCUAGGAGGCAGGAGAGGCAAGCGGUACUCAGUGGGUAGGGGUAAAAUCCGUUGAUCCAUUGAAGACCACCAGUGGCAAAGGCGGCUUGCCAGAAUGCGCUCGACGGUGAGGGAUGAAAGCUGGGGGAGCAAACCGG
rnacentral:rRNA from 1 species